GACGAACGCUGGCGGCGUGCUUAACACAUGCAAGUCGAACGGAAAGGCCCUGCUUUUGUGGGGUGCUCGAGUGGCGAACGGGUGAGUAACACGUGAGUAACCUGCCCUUGACUUUGGGAUAACUUCAGGAAACUGGGGCUAAUACCGGAUAGGAGCUCCUGCUGCAUGGUGGGGGUUGGAAAGUUUCGGCGGUUGGGGAUGGACUCGCGGCUUAUCAGCUUGUUGGUGGGGUAGUGGCUUACCAAGGCUUUGACGGGUAGCCGGCCUGAGAGGGUGACCGGCCAAAUUGGGACUGAGAUACGGCCCAGACUCCUACGGGAGGCAGCAGUGGGGAAUAUUGCACAAUGGGCGGAAGCCUGAUGCAGCAACGCCGCGUGCGGGAUGACGGCCUUCGGGUUGUAAACCGCUUUCGCCUGUGACGAGGCGUGAGUGACGGUAAUGGGUAAAGAAGCACCGGCUAACUACGUG
rnacentral:rRNA from 1 species